CCCAGACUCCUACGGGAGGCAGCAGUGAGGAAUAUUGGUCAAUGGCCGGAAGGCUGAACCAGCCAAGCCGCGUGAGGGAGGAAGGCGCAGGGCGUCGCAGACCUCUUUUGCCGGGGGACAAAAGGCCGGACUCGUCCGGUCCUGAGGGUACCCGGAGAAAAAGCAUCGGCUAACUCCGUGCCAGCAGCCGCGGUAAUACGUAGGUGGCAAGCGUUGUCCGGAUUUACUGGGUGUAAAGGGCGUGUAGCCGGGUUGACAAGUCAGAUGUGAAAUCCUGCGGCUUAACCGCAGAACUGCAUUUGAAACUGUUGAUCUUGAGUACUGGAGAGGCAGACGGAAUUCCUAGCGUAGCGGUGAAAUGCGUAGAUAUUAGGAGGAACACCAGUGGCGAAGGCGGUCUGCUGGACAGCAACUGACGGUGAGGCGCGAAAGCGUGGGGAGCAAACAGGAUUAGAUACCCUUGUA
rnacentral:rRNA from 1 species